rnacentral:rRNA from 1 species
UACGAAGGGGGCUAGCGUUGUUCGGAAUUACUGGGCGUAAAGCGCACGUAGGCGGACAUUUAAGUCAGGGGUGAAAUCCCAGAGCUCAACUCUGGAACUGCCUUUGAUACUGGGUGUCUUGAGUAUGGAAGAGGUGAGUGGAAUUCCGAGUGUAGAGGUGAAAUUCGUAGAUAUUCGGGAGGAACACCAGUGGCGAAGGCGGCUCACUGGCCCGGUACUGACGCUGAGGUGCGAAAGCGUGGGGAGCAAACAGG